rnacentral:rRNA from 1 species
AUUGAACGCUGGCGGCAUGCCUUACACAUGCAAGUCGAACGGUAACGGGCCUUCGGGUGCCGACGAGUGGCGAACGGGUGAGUAAUGCAUCGGAACGUACCUUUCAGUGGGGGAUAACGUAGCGAAAGUUACGCUAAUACCGCAUAUUCUGUGAGCAGGAAAGCAGGGGAUCGCAAGACCUUGCGCUGAUUGAGCGGCCGAUGUCAGAUUAGCUAGUUGGUGAGGUAAAGGCUCACCAAGGCGACGAUCUGUAGCGGGUCUGAGAGGAUGAUCCGCCACACUGGAACUGAGACACGGUCCAGACUCCUACGGGAGGCAGCAGUGGGGAAUUUUGGACAAUGGGGGCAACCCUGAUCCAGCCAUGCCGCGUGAGUGAAGAAGGCCUUCGGGUUGUAAAGCUCUUUCGGCCGGGAGAAAUCGCAUGGGUUAAUACCCUGUGCGGAUGACGGUACCGGCAUAAGAAGCACCGGCUAACUACGUGCCAGCAGCC